rnacentral:rRNA from 1 species
GACGAACGCUGGCGGCGUGCCUAAUACAUGCAAGUCGAGCGGACCGACGGGAGCUUGCUCCCUUAGGUCAGCGGCGGACGGGUGAGUAACACGUGGGUAACCUGCCUGUAAGACUGGGAUAACUCCGGGAAACCGGGGCUAAUACCGGAUGCUUGAUUGAACCGCAUGGUUCAAUCAUAAAAGGUGGCUUUCAGCUACCACUUACAGAUGGACCCGCGGCGCAUUAGCUAGUUGGUGAGGUAACGGCUCACCAAGGCGACGAUGCGUAGCCGACCUGAGAGGGUGAUCGGCCACACUGGGACUGAGACACGGCCCAGACUCCUACGGGAGGCAGCAGUAGGGAAUCUUCCGCAAUGGACGAAAGUCUGACGGAGCAACGCCGCGUGAGUGAUGAAGGUUUUCGGAUCGUAAAACUCUGUUGUUAGGGAAGAACAAGUACCGUUCGAAUAGGGCGGCACCUUGACGGUACCUAACCAGAAAGCCACGGCUAACUACGUGCCAGCAGCCGUGGUAAUACGUAGGUGGCAAGCGUUGUCCGGAAUUAUUGGGCGUAAAGCGCGCGCAGGCGGUUUCUUAAGUCUGAUGUGAAAGCCCCCGGCUCAACCGGGGAGGGUCAUUGGAAACUGGGGAACUUGAGUGCAGAAGAGGAGAGUGGAAUUCCACGUGUAGCGGUGAAAUGCGUAGAGAUGUGGAGGAACACCAGUGGCGAAGGCGACU